AAAAUCUUAAAGUACUUUUUGUGGUUUAACAAGUAGUGUACAUAUACAGGUAUCAUCUAUCCUUGCAUCUUUGUCAUGAUAAGAAAUCUAUCUGUCAUUUCUUUCCCUCCAGCUUGCGUUUUUCUCAACCCAGUCGGAAGCCAUUGAAAGCAUGGCAAGUGAACAAUUGAGUGGUAGGUGGUCUCUUAAUGGAAUGACUGCCCUUGUUACUGGUGGCACCAGAGGCAUUGGUAAGCAAAUUCCUUCAAAUAUAGUUCCUGGUAUUUAUAUUUAUAUCAAAAAAUUAGUAAAUUCAUUUCAACAUUAGUUUUCUCAUUCACUCCUCAAAAGGGUAUGUUAACUGUUAACAACCAAUUGGACAACUUUUAAUGAGCAGAAAACCUACUCAAUCACGGUCAUAUCUCGUUUCAUAUACAUAAAUCCUUACUUCCUUCACUUGUUCUAGUAUAUAUGUGCGAUUAUGUCCCUAGUAGCUUUAAUGCAACAUCCAAAAUGCGCGUCCCCAUUUUAACUAUUUGACCCAAAAUUUCAGGCAUUCCAUAGUGGAAGAGUUAGCAGGAUUUGGGGCCAUAGUAUACACAUGUUCAUGAAACCAAAAGGAACUUAAUGAAAGGCUGCAAGAAUGGGGAGCAAAGGGUUUCAAAGUCUAUGGUUCAACUUGCGAUAAGGCUUCAAGAACAGAAAGAGAGGAACUAAUAAAGAACGUCUCUUCCACCUUCGACAGCAGGCUGAACUUACUGGUAAGUACAAAUUCUGAUCCAUAAAAAUGGUUGGCCCAUCUAUUUCUUGACUUGUUAAAGAAUCAUAAACAUCAUUUCUGUUUUAGAGUUUUAGUAUUUGCAUCCAGAGUAAUUCUUAGGGGAAAUAUUUCCGAUAUCUUGGUUUGAAUUAAUUUCCCAAAUGCGGACUGCAGUGCAGAUAUUUUGUAGGAUGUGCCGGCUGAAAGUGAAUGGUAUGCUUAAAAAGGAGUAAUUUAAGAAGCCUCCGAUAAGAUUUUUAACAAUUUGACUGCUAUUUCCAUUUGGCAAUUAGAACUUUUAAUUUUCACCCGCACCGAGUAGCAAUCAUAACACAGAAAUUUCUCUUUGACAUUUCACCAAACAUCUUAUAUGCAUUCACAAAUUAAUCACAUUUAAUUUAAACGUCUAGUCUCAAGUCCUUUCCUAGAUGUUUCAUAUGGCUAUUAAGCAUAUUUUACCCGUAGACAAUCAAAACUACAACCAUUUCCUAGAUGUUUCAGUGGACAUUUUCAGCCCCAAAAUUGCAAUAAAAUCUUCAAAUUCUCAGCCUUGAUUUCGCAAGAAAAUCUUGACAAACAAAACAAAUGAAAUAUAAAUAAAUUACAGCAAUAUAAUGAAACGAUUUCAAGAGGACAUGAUGGCCUAACCUCGCCACUGCUAUUUUUCAUAUGCUCUCUGAUUGGCUACCACCGUCGCUAACCCUUUUAUU
rnacentral:lncRNA from 1 species